UUUUAUUAUGAAGCAGUAAAAGCAGGAAAUGCUGCGUUUUCAUUAGCAGUAACUUAACAUGACUAAUGCAGCUGAAAGCUAAAGUGAGAGUAAAUAAGUAAACAUCUUAAAGUACAAAGAGCAUCACAGGAGAGAAACUAAAUUUCAAAGCACAACAAUUCAGUUAGAAGCAACAAAAAUACUGAGAGCUGAAGAGACUUCAAAACAUCUCUGCUUUCCUCUGCUCUGCACACAUGGGAGCUGAGUCUCAGAGCACAUCAGGGGAUAAAGGAGAAACGUCGGCUACUGACGGUGGGAAAAGGAUAUCACAGAGGGUGGAAUGCCACCCAGAUAGCACCUGUUCAUCUAUGUGAAGUUGAAGACCAGUCUGACAGAUGAGGAAGCACAUGUUACAGAGAACGUACCUCAAGGAAGUGAUGUCAUUGAUGCAGACCAAAGUGAGGAUGUACCUGAAGUAGAUUAUGGGAUUGAUGCAGACCAAGGGUGAUGUGCGAUUCAAGAUUGCUGUCGAUCAGGAAGUUGUUAAUGACCACAUCUACUCUCCUGUUGUGGCCCUGAGCUACACUUUCUCCUUGUUUUAUGUCUUAAACAUAAAAUACCCAAAGGAGAUGUCACUUACCCUGGAAUUCAUACAGAGAGUUCUCCUGGGAAUAAAUCCUGAACGAGGGUCCAAAGCUGAGAAAAAGGGAACGAAACAGCGACACAUUCCUCCAAGACUGCUGAAGUUCCUGUAUGAACGGAACAACUUUGAAAGUCCAUGGACAAUUUGAGCUUCUUUUCAAAGCUCAAAAUGGAAGUUGUCAGACUGAACAUGGAGACGAAAAAUAAAACUGGAGGCUGUACUCGGUAACUUUCUCACACUGACGUAUGCAGAGAGGUACCAGCAGCACACGCUCAUACAUGAGAGCCCUGCUUCUCACUGCAUGCUUGGAGAAGAGGUGAAUAACCCAACUUAAAAAAACAUUAAAUGUUCUGUUCAUGGAAUUGGCAAAAACAUUGAAUUGUUUGGUAUUGAUGGUGACAAUCAUCUUUUUUCUUGUAUUGUUUUUUGUCAUGUAUUUGAAAAUGAAUUGAAGUGGUUUGCAGUUAAUUUCAUCGUUAACUAAUAAUUCAUUGUUGCAGCUCUAUUUAAUGCAUUGUGACUCCCUUUGGUGCCACACACGAUUUCACAGUUACAGUGCUCGUUAUUGAAUGCAUCUUCAUUCCCAUGUUUUGUUUUGUCUUGUUGUACUCUGUUGCUUUAUAAAGCAAAAGAAAAAACCUCUUAUACAAAGAAAGGGAUGGCAUUUUAGGCUGAUACCAACAGUUAAUUUAAAGCCUUUAUCGGCAUAGUGUGUUGAUAUUAUCAUGCAUCCCUGAUCUGAACAUUGUUUAAUGAAGUGUCAUGUCAGUGUUUAAACCAUUUUAAUGACAUUUUUUUAAUUUUAAGAAAAUGUUCAUGAGGAAAUACUCAAUGAAUGCACUUUUAUGGAACGAUGUUUACAAAAAGAAAAGUUGUUCAAGAAAAACUAAACAUGCUCAGUUUGCUUGUAUUGUGGUGGAUUUGUGUGACCAUGUUAUUCAUCACUUUAGAACACUGCAGUGGUCUGGUGAUGGACAGCAGUCAUGAAUAAAUUUCAACAUUGUUUCCAA